rnacentral:sRNA from 1 species
CCCAUUGUGACGUCAUAGAAACUGGAAAGGAAGAAGGUGUUGGUUUUCCUGCUCCUUUUCCCAUGGCUUCGAGAGUUACACUGUGUGAUCCAGCAGUCUGAUCCAUGAUUGAAAUCACAAUUGGGAUAAAGUUGGUAGAGAUGCUUCUUAAUUUACAGUGGGGUUAUAUCCUCAUAAACCCCUCAUAAGUUAAAAAUAUUGUAAGUGGAAAAUGCAUUUAAUACACCUAACCUACUGACAUCAUAGCUCAGCCUGGUCUACCUUAACUGUGCCCAGAAAUGCACAUUAGCCUACAAUGGGGGUAAAAUCAUGUAACAAGAAGCCUAUUUUGUAUUAAAGCAUCAAAUAUCUCAUGUAGUUUAUUGAAUACUGUAUUGAAAGUGAAAGAUUGGUCGUAUAGGCACUCAAAGUACGGUUUCUACUGAAUGUGUAUUGUUUUCACACCGUUGUAAAGUCAGAAAAUCAAAGGUCAUAGGUCAAACAGUUGUAAGUAGGGAACCAUCUGUGCUUGUUACAUGCUUAGGGAUUUUCUAUUUCUAAUUGACUCACUGUCAUUGUAGGAUUUAAAGAGGGAGGCCUCAAAUAGUGUAUCUGUGACCUGCAUCUCCUUUGGGUGGUUCUUGAUGUCCAUGAUUUCUUGGCCGAGAUCAUGUUUGGCUGCUAAGGCCUGGACUACGUUCUUUGUGGAGUUGUGAGGGGGCUGCUUGUGAUCUCCUAGGAGUGGAGAGGAUGCCUUAUUUACCCCUUGAUGUACUAAUGCCUGCAUAAAUAAAACUCAUUGCAAACAUCCUG